GGUUAAAUUAGUUCUACACCAAGCCUUUAGGUGGCAGUAAAACGAAUUGGCACAAUGCGAAUUCCACACACAAGCCACAAAGAAGCCAUCAGCCGCGGUCAACAGCACCUUCCUGAUUGAACAGAACCACGCGUUGUCUGUGUGGUUUACAAGUUUCUUGGCGAUAUGGGGGGAAAGUUCCUCACAUACCAACGGAAAAUGGGCUUCAUAUACAUGCUGCUGUCUCAUAAUAUGGCGAAGACGAGUCACCUGAAGGCCUAACUCGCCAUAGAAGACUGAAAGAAUUGUCCUGCAGGAUGCUGUGUCCAGCAAUCCUGUGUGCUGCAAUCCUGUGUGCUGUGCUACAGACGCGUGUGGAGGUCAACCCAAAAUGGGCACAGUCUCACCACAGAAGAGUGAAAGAGGAUCCUGGCAGGGAGACGGUAGUGUCCUGCAGAAUGGUGAUGGGCCAAUCUUACAAGAGACCACAGAAAACUGAUAUAGUGAACUAUAGAAACAACAGUGCCUGCUGCAGUAUAACGAGGACACCCUGAGCAGAGAGCUCCAAUAGACCCAGGUCCAGUGUCUUGGCAGGGUGAAAUGGCACUGAUAUGGUGUCCUGCAGGAUGCUGUGUCCUGCAAUCCUGUGUGCUGUGCUACAGACGCGUGUGGAGGUCAACCCAAAAUGGGCACAGUCUCACCACAGAAGAGUGAAAGAGGCUCCCAGAAGUGAGACUGAGUGCCUGUUGCAGUAUGACGAGGACACAGUGACCAGAGACCUUCAGUAGACCCUGCUGGCAUGAUUGGCGUCUGAAGAACAUGAAAUCAACAGCAAUGUUUAUAAUGUUGUACAUACCUGUAUAGUCUGUAUUAAAAGGCAGUACCUGUA